rnacentral:lncRNA from 1 species
UUUUUUUUUUUUUUUUUUUUUUUCUUCCCGGAUUUUCUCGUCCCGGAUUUUCUCUUCCCGGGUUUCGGCACCAACUCUUAAACGCGUUCUCACGACCGGCCAGGAAGAACACAACAAACCAGAAUCUUCCGCGGCAAAACUUUAUUGCUUACAUCUUCAGGAGCAGGAGCGCAAGCCCCCAGCCCCAAAAACGAAAGCCCCCCGCUUACAUCUUUAGGAGCCAGAGCGCCAGCGCGCCAGAGCGCCAGAGCGCAGAGCAAGAGAGAGAAUGGCGGAAACCCCGUUCCCUUUAAGGAGAAUUAUCCUUCGCCUAGGACGCAUCACUCCCUGAUUGGCUGCAGCCCAUGGCCGAGUAAAGGCAGAGUACAUGUAGUGGUAAAAUACCUUUGGCACAUGCGCAGAUUAUUUGUUUACCACUUAGAACACAGGAUGUCAGCGCCAUCUUGUGACGGCAAAUGUGGGGGCGGCUCCCAACAGCCCUAAGCUCCCUAAACGUCUCCACCCAGCUCGCUAGGUUCCCCCUGGCGGGUCUUUACCACGCCAGCCCCAUGCUGCAAAACCCACAUGACCUUUGUGAUGCACAUCAGGCAAACUCAUGCUUUGCCUAUGUACUUUUCUCUCUUGAACCCAGAUGAGCUGCUAUGUGAAGGAAAACUCAGCACAAACUUAGUUCAGAAACAAUGGUAAUUCAAUCGCUGGGCGCAGCAAUUAAAACCUAAUCUUGUAAGCCUUAUUAAAAUCUGAUUCCUCUGGUGGCAAAUCCUUGCGGAUCCACCAUGAUACCAGAAAACUCGAGUAGCUACAUCUUAACUUUAUGCUGUCCUUGUUCCAAAAAGGACCAUAACUCUCUCCUGCUUCCUCUCUUUCUCCGUCCAACCUGGAAGUCCCUCCUACUCGCCCAGUGAUUGGCUUCUUCAUUCAUUAGGAGAUUGGUUCACAAGAAUAGCACCAGGUUAAUCCACAACAUGGGCAGGUGACAAAUUUUCAACUGUCCCCAAGGUAUUAGCUCAAUCCCUCCUGCACCCUCUUGUUUAUGUCAGUUCAAAGGUUUGCCUUGCCAUAGCCUGUUCUGCAUCCUAUCUACCUCUACUUGGCGUGCCAUGAAGGGCUCUGUGACCUUACCUCCAACAACUUCCUGAUCAGACUCAGGAGCCUCUCUGCUACCUACCACAGUGAUUGUCUUUACAUCUUUUUGGUUCCUGUCUCUGCCAUUAGUAGUUUCAUUGUGUGAAGUUUCCGGUAUGAUCUUUGAGUUGAUAUUAGUAAUUGACAUUGAAGUUAAAACAAAACAAAACAAAACAAAACCCCAAAAACUUUGGGAUUGCCAAUGGGCCCACUGUAGGGAGAAUUCAGCAUUCCUUAGUGAAUCACCAUCAACAAAACUAGAAAAUUUGUUAUUUGAAUUUGUCAUUCAAUAGAGACUAACACUAUGGGAAGGGACAAAGGAGUCCACUUACAUACAUAGUAUACUGGUAACAUUGUCUUGGCAGACUGCUGUCCUGACAAGGUCAGGGUUUGGCCUUCAUGCUCAUAGGUUGUAUGUAUCGCCCCCUGACCAGAAUACCCUUCCUCCUAUUUCCUCUGGGCCAUCCUUCAGCACCCAGCCUCUCUCUGCUAAGCCCGUCAUUGUUAUUGCCACUCCCCAUCAGCCUCCUUGAGCUUGAGGGUGACUUGAUACCUUUUAGGGGUAUUAAGGUGGCCUGUGGUCCCAGACUCUCCAUGAUCAAACUUACAUCUGAGCUGAGUGUCACUCAAAAGUUACUCUCCAUGCUUCAGCCCUCACCUGUAUAUAAAACUGUGUUUAUGUGCUAUAGUGGCAGUUAGGAUAAACCAAAUUCAAGCAUGGGUGUUGUUCAUGAAAAUGCCUGUUUAAACAGUCUAUUAUUUAUAUUUAAAUGUAUUAACAAGUGUUAUUAAACUAAACUCUAUUUGUAUUCUAUUUUAUUCUGUUCUUCAUGUUCUGAGUCCUGGGUAUUAAACUGGGUUCCUGCAUGCCAAGCAAGUGCUUUGCCAUUUAUCUCCACCCCUGCCUUCUUAAAUUAUUUCUAUAUUUUUUGAAACAGGAUCUUGCUAUACUGAAAGUUGCUAUGUAUAUCAGGCUGGUCUCAAACUUGACAGCAAUCCUCUUGCCUCUUGAGUGGCUGGCAUGGACCACUAUACUUGGCUCUCUUUUAUAGUAAUCCUAUAUAACCUAGGCUGGCUUUGAAUGUACUAUGUAGCCAAAGCUGUCUUUGAACUUCUGAUGUUUAAAUGUUAGGAUUAUACGUGUGUAUUAUAAUGCCUGGCCGGACUAGAGAGUUUACACUUAAAAUUUUCUUUUCAUUAACAAAUUUAUAAUUUUUUGCAUACUUCCCUUUAACAGUCAAUGUGUAGGUUGAAUAUAAAUAUCAUGUACAAACUCACUGUAUACUUACCCUAAUAAGUGAAGUACUUAACCAUAAAGCAAUUGUUUUGGAGUAAGAUAUC